UACGGAGGGUGCAAGUGUUAAUCGGAAUUACUGGGCGUAAAGCGCACGCAGGUGGCUGAGUCAGUCGAUUGUGAAAGCCCUGGGCUUAACCUGGGAAUUGCAGUCGAUACUACUCGGCUCGAGUAUGGGAGAGGGAAGUGGAAUUUCCGGUGUAGCGGUGAAAUGCGUAGAUAUCGGAAGGAACAUCAGUGGCGAAAGCGACUUCCUGGACCAAUACUGACGCUCAUGUGCGAAAGCGUGGGGAGCAAACAGG
rnacentral:rRNA from 1 species